ACAUGCAAGUCGAACGGCAGCGACAGGAGCAAUCGGCGGCGAGUGGCGGACGGGUGAGUAAUACUCGGAACGUGUCCUGUAGUGGAGAUAGCCCGGCGAAAGCCGGAUUAAUACCCGCAUACGCUCUACGGAGGAAAGGGGGGAUCUUAGGACCUCUCGCUACAGGGGCGGCCGAUGGCAGAUUAGCUAGUUGGUGGGGUAAAGGCUUACCAAGGCGACGAUCUAUAGCUGGUCUGAGAGGACGACCAGCCACACUGGGACUGAGACACGGCCCAGACUCCUACGGGAGGCAGCAGUGGGGAAUUUUGGACAAUGGGCGCAAGCCUGAUCCAGCAAUGCCGCGUGUGUGAAGAAGGCCUUCGGGUUGUAAAGCACUUUUGUCCGGAAAG
rnacentral:rRNA from 1 species